UACGUAUGGUGCAAGCGUUAUCCGGAUUUACUGGGUGUAAAGGGAGCGUAGGCGGCGCGUUAAGUCUGAUGUGAAAACCCGAGGCUCAACCACGGGAGUGCAUUGGAAACUGGCGUGCUGGAGUGCCGGAGAGGUAAGCGGAAUUCCUAGUGUAGCGGUGAAAUGUGUAGAUAUUAGGAGGAACACCAGUGGCGAAGGCGGCUUACUGGACGGCAACUGACGCUGAGGCUCGAAAGCGUGGGGAGCAAACAGG
rnacentral:rRNA from 1 species